GGUCUGGUGGCGUAGCGGUAAUGCACUCUGUUUGCGUAGCUGGUGGGAAAUUGAAUAAUGGAGGGUCCAGAGUUUGAAUCUCCACCAGGCCU